UAGAGACAGGAAGAGGAUUUGAUGAAGUUUGCAUGUAAGGAGUAAGCUGAGCAUAUAGUGUAUCUACGUAGAGAAGCUUGCACUAUCUAGAAUUAUAGAGAAGAAAAAUUUGCAGUUUAUUUUAGCCUUAAAAAUAGGUAACACAUAGCAGGCUUAUUUUCCCCACGCCAGUUUAUAGAGUUGAGGCAGAAUAAGGUGACCGAGACAGCAAGGUGUUCCUUUGAAAGAGACAGCAGGGCACAUAUUGCUUUUCCAAACUCUCUGUGUACAUAUAGCUGAUUCCAUUCAUUAGUACAUUUAAAAUGAAGAAUGUGAGAAUGUGGGAUACUUAAAAUAAUCUUAAAAGUCCAUGUUUGAAAAGAGGAAUUUUCUCAGGACUAAACAAAAUUAACUGUCCCAGAAACUGAUGUUUGGAAUUGAAUUACAAAUGCCUUUGUAGAUUUUAAAUUUCACAAAACAUGUUCUAGCAUCACUUAAAAAUAACAACUUUAAAGGGCUCAUAAAUAAAGACAUAAAAGGCGUUUUGACAUUUAAUACAAAAACAGCAUUUUGAUGAACUGGGUAAAAAUGAAUCAGAGACAUAUGGAUUACAUAUUUCUUAUAGUGCGCCUGAGUUUUAAAAUUGAGGCAGUGGAAAUCUGGCAAAAUAUUUUUGGGGAAUUUGCUACAUAUACUAUAUUUAAAAAGAGGUGAAGAUGAACUCCAGACUGCUAUGAUUGCUCAUGACAUUGAAUUUGAUAACUUUUAAUUUGCGGAUAAGAAAUUCUUGUGAAAUAGCUCAAUCUGUCUAUGUGUUGUAGAAGUGAGUGGUUGGAGACAGUGAGUACCAAUUCAUCUGAUCCCAUAAUCAUUCAACAAACACACAAUGCCAGGUUCUGUACUAGGCACUGGGGUGACUUCUAUGAUGACUAACAUGAACUGUGGACUCUGCUCUUGUGGGAAGGGUAGACGGUUGUAGGAAGGUACUCACAAAUUUCUGGGUAUUACAAAUUCCAAGUACUUUGGGAUAUACAAAAGAGACCACUGACAGUAUUUACUGGGUGUCAGUCACUGUGCUAGCCACAUCACAUUCAUUAUCAUGUUUGACUGUGAGAUCUCUAUAAAAUAGGAAUUAUUAUUUUCCCUUUUAAUGGAUGAGAAACAUAACAUCAAAGUGUACAGAUCAGGUGACUUGUUGCGUGUCAGUGGUAAUUGGCUACAUUGGUUGCUCACAGCGAACCGUGUCUUUUAUACUCACACUCGUGUAGUCACCACUCCUUGAAUCAAGGCUGGCCCUGGGAUUCACUUAACCACUAGACUGUGGCAGAAAUGAUCUUGUUCCAGUUCCAGACCUAAGCAUUUAGUAGACCUGGCAGCUUUCACUUCUGUAGUCUUGAAAGCCCUAUCACCUGGUAAAAAAAAAAAAAAAAAAAAAAAAA
rnacentral:lncRNA from 1 species